CCAUUUGAUACUCCGUUGCCUCAGCCUAUCAUGCAGUCGACGGCAGUUGAGCAGCCUAGGUUGACAUGUGGCGCACGGGUGCGUAACGCGUAUGCAACCUACCUUUAACAGGGGGAUAGCCCGGAGAAAUUCGGAUUAAUGAUGGGUAGUAAUUAUCAGUGGCAUCACUGAUAGUUUAAAGCUGAGGCGGUUAGAGAUGGGCAUGCGUUCCAUUAGCACAGGUUAGCAAUGGCUCACCAAGGCUACCAUGGAUAGGGGACCUGAGAGGGCGAUCCGGCACACUGGUACUGAGACACGGAGGUCACUCCUACGGGAGGCAGCAGUAAGGAAUAUUGGGCAAUGGCCGCAAGGCUGACCCAGCCAUGCCGCGUGCAGGGGCCUUAUGGGUUGUAAACUGCUUUUGUCAGGGAUUAAAUCCAUAUACUUGUAUAAGGUUGAAGGUUACUCAUAAUAAGCAUCGGCUAACUCCGUGCCAGCAGCCGCCGUAAUACGGAGGAUGCGAGCGUUAAGUAGAUUCAUUGGGUCAAACGUGCGCAGGCGGGCUAAUAAGUCAGGGGUGAGCAUACACGGCUCAACUGUGGGACUGCCUUUGAUACUGUUAGUCUUGAGUACGGUUGAGGUGGGCGGAAUGUAGCAUGUAGCGGACUAUGCAUAGAUAUGCUACAGAACACCGAUAGCGAAGGCAGCUCACCAAGUUAUAACUGACGCUCAUGCACGAAAGCGUGAACAAACUUCGUUAGAUACCCUGGUAGUCCACGCUGUAAACGAUGAUCACUCGUUGUUGGCGAUAUAAAGUCAGCGGCUAAGCGAAAGUGAUAAGUAUCCCACCUGGGGAGUACGAUCGCAAGGUUGAAACUCAAAGGAGUUGACGGCCCGCACAAGCGGUGGAGCAUCUGGUGUAAUUCGAUGAUACGCGAACCUUACCUGGGCUUGAACGCCUGAUGUUAUUGGGAGAAAUCUCAAGUCAAUUCGGGGCGUUGAGCGCGGUGCAUGCAUGGUUGUCGUCAGCUCGUGCCGUGAUGUGUCGGGUUAAGUCCCAUAACGAGCGCAAACCUUAUCAUUAGUGGCCAUCAGGUAAAGCUGGGGACUCUACUAAACUGCCUACGCAAGUAGAGAGGCAUGUGGGGAUGACGUCAAAUCAGCACGUCCAGGGCUACACACGCAUUACAAUGGCCGGUACAGAGCGGCAGCCACCUGGUGACAGGGAGCGAAUUCUCGAAAGCCGGUCUCAGUUCGGAUCGAAGUCUAGCAACCCGACUUCGUGAAGCUGCGGCAUGUAGUACGCAUCAGCCAUGGCCGCGGUGAAUACGUUCCCGGGCCUUGUACACACCGCCCGUCAAGCCAUGGGAGCCGGGGGUACCUGAAGUCGGUAACCGCAAAGAGCCGCUAGGGUAAAUAUAAUCUGA
rnacentral:rRNA from 1 species